UUUAUUUAUAAAAGGUACAGCAAAAUAUUAAUUAUAUGCAUAUGUUAGGUGUUCCUUUGUGGGAACUACACCUUAUUUAGCAGGUGCUUUUGUGUGUGCAUCAAUAUAGCAAUCAAAUGGCAUUCAUACUAAUCUCAUAAUUAAUGAAAACCUUCCAAUACCUUGUCUCAUGGCAGAGUUAAGGUUCAGUAACUGGAAUUGUGGAGGUAGGGAUUAUCUGAAGAAAGAGGAUCCUUAUAAAAGAAUACACUCAAAAAUAUUGUAGAUUUUUAAGCAUAAAGGAAAUAUUUUAAAACAGCAAAUCACUGAAAAAUAUUUGCUGCAACGCUUUCCCUCCACAGGUCUUCAGCAGACAGAAAAUAAAAGUCACAUUCUUAGCCAGCUGUGAGAAAAUGGAUAGCUCAGAUUUUCUUCUCACUUUGAAUGUGCCUUUAAAUGCCACUUUUAGUAUCUGCAGUCACUGCUCCUCUUGCCAUUCAAAUCCAUGCAGGCAGUCAUUCCCUAAAGCUUCUGGUGUGAAGCCACGUUUCUUAGAUCCAAUUCAGACUGGUCAUUGAUGUGCUACACACAGAGUAAUGCUUUUCAGGUUUUCUUAGCUGUGUUUUAAUCCACGUGGGGAUCAAGUAAGUCAUUAGACCACCCUGGUUCCAUGCCAAAAUCUUUCAAAAUCUUCUUUUGGCUUGAUUAUUUUCAAAAAUCUUGGCUCAUGCUUGCAGGGAAUUGAGAACUUCAACAAGAUUAAUUUCUCUGCUGUCUUCCAACACUUCAAAGCUCACAUUCUCAAAGGUUCACACUUUAUCCUCAGAGAAACAGGUAAGCAUUGUCAAGUAUUUCCAAAGAAGAAAAUAUAGAUGCAGGUGUUAUUGAAAUAUAGAUAUGGGUGUAUUUGUCCCAGAUGAUAACUCAGCCCAUGAGUCUGGGCCUCUUAACCACUGAGCCUACUGUACCAGCUGAGCCUACUGUAGUAAUCCCCAGGCUCAUUAUGAUUCCUUGCUUAGAACUGAAAGCACAAACUAGUACCAGGUAAGCUUUUACUGUAUAUAUAAGACACAACAGGACACUAGCCAUUUCUCCUUAUUUAAACACAGGUCAGCCCUCCACAUAUCUGUUUCCCUUUCCUACCAUGUUUGCACAUAGUAGCACCACUUCUCUACAGAGAGGUGGUUACAGACAAAAUGUGAGAGGAGGGGACUGUGAUAUAGAAAGAAAAAUGUACCUUAACAAAAAUAGAUUUGUUGGUACUGUCUUACAGACACACAGACACAAAAAUCUUUAAAUAUUAAAAAAUCCCCUGUAAUUUCACUACUCUCCUUGCUCUUCUGCAAAGUUAUGAGGACUCAUUUAUAACAACAGUGACAAUUGCUGCAGAACACCAUGGUGUGAUUGAGGAUGACAAAAACACACAGAGAAUGCCUACACAAUGUACAUACAUGGACAUAGGAAUAUUUUAGUAGACACUUGCACAGGGACCAAUCUGGGGGCAAAUAUCCUCUUUGCCCCAUAUGUUCUGCAUAACUUACCCAAGAGGAAAUACAUGCAUGAAAUCAAUCUGAACUGCUAUGAUCUUCCAUCUCCUCACUGAUAUGAAGGAUUGCAUAUGGCAUAAGGCAGUGGUGAAUGAAGCCUCAUGAUCUUUACAGGGAGUUUUUGCUUCGAGAAACUACAAGCAGCCACUGAAACAGAACUCAAAGAUUUACCACAUACAGGUAAAUGCAGAAAUUUACAACUUGAGAUUUUCUCGUAGCAUUUCUUCCUAUAAAAUGGUUCUCAGAUUAAAAAGCUAAAAGCAAACCAGUUUACUUGUAAAAAACAUGGUGUGGAAGAAUAUUUCUGAGCCAGUGAAUUGUGUGCAUGUCUGUGACAACUGAGGUAGAUUUUUUUUUGUUGUUCCAAAUAUGUUCCAGCAUAUACUUAAGGUCUUGGCAUUGGUAAACAAACUUGUGCCUUCAGUCUCUUUCAAAGCAGGCAUUUUGCCUAACUCUUUGACACUGGAAGUGCAUUUUCUUCAUCCCCA